GCUUGCGUGGUGUAAUGGUUAGCAUUGCUGCCUUCCAAGCAGCAGAUUCGGGUUCAAUUCCCGACGCAAGCA
rfam:Magnaporthe poae ATCC 64411 unplaced genomic scaffold supercont1.5, whole genome shotgun sequence.